rnacentral:rRNA from 1 species
GCGUUCUGUUCUCGCGAUGCAUCUAGAUUAGAGUUUGAUCAUGGCUCAGAUUGAACGCUGGCGGCAGGCCUAACACAUGCAAGUCGAACGGUAACAGGAAGAAGCUUGCUUCUUUGCUGACGAGUGGCGGACGGGUGAGUAAUGUCUGGGAAACUGCCUGAUGGAGGGGGAUAACUACUGGAAACGGUAGCUAAUACCGCAUAACGUCGCAAAACCAAAGAGGGGGACCUUCGGGCCUCUUGCCAUCGGAUGUGCCCAGAUGGGAUUAGCUAGUAGGUGGGGUAACGGCUCACCUAGGCGACGAUCCCUAGCUGGUCUGAGAGGAUGACCAGCCACACUGGAACUGAGACACGGUCCAGACUCCUACGGGAGGCAGCAGUGGGGAAUAUUGCACAAUGGGCGCAAGCCUGAUGCAGCCAUGCCGCGUGUAUGAAGAAGGCCUUCGGGUUGUAAAGUACUUUCAGCGGGGAGGAAGGGAGUAAAGUUAAUAUUUUUGCCCCCCUGCCCUUACCCGCAGAAG